CGUGUAGGCGGUCGGGUAAGUCAGAUGUGAAAGCCUUCUGCUUAACAGAAGAAGUGCAUUUGAAACUGCCCGGCUGGAGUACGGGAGAGGAGAGUGGAAUUCCCGGUGUAGAGGUGAAAUUCGUAGAUAUCGGGAGGAACACCAGUGGCGAAGGCGGCUCUCUGGUCCGAUACUGACGCUGAGACGCGAAAGCGUGGGGAGCAAACAGGAUUAGAUACCCUGGUAGUCCACGCCGUAAACGAUGGGCAUUAGGUGUAGGAGGUAUUGACCCCUUCUGUGCCGAAGCUAACGCAUUAAGUGCCCCGCCUGGGGAGUACGGCCGCAAGGCUAAA
rnacentral:rRNA from 1 species